UAGGGGCUUCUAAUUUGCACCAAUCACGGGUC
rnacentral:piRNA from 1 species